UAUUCGGAUGUGUAGCUACGAUAAUUUGUCUCUGUUGCGCCAGGAGAAGAAACUCCUAGGAUGUCCCUCUGAAAACAGACACCAAAAGUGCGAAGUGACUAGAUGGGAGCCAAGGCGGAAGACUAGGGAAUGGGAGGCUCCUUGGACCAUUUAGAAUCUAAUGCCACUCUGAUGAGAUGUUGGUGGGGUUUUUGGCCUUGAAGCACUUCUGUGGAGCAGAUGUAAUUAAUUGAUGCUGUUCUCUGAAGUAUUAAGUCUUACUGAUCAGUGCUGCCCAUGUUUCUUCAUUGCUCCAAAAUCACAGGUAA